GGGCCGUUAGCUCAGUUGGUUAGAGCAGCUGACUCUUAAUCAGCGGGUCCGGGGUUCGAAUCCCUGACGGCCCA
rnacentral:tRNA from 1 species